UACGUAGGGGCGAGCGUUGUCCGGAUUUAUUGGGCGUAAAGAGCUCGUAGGCGGUUUGGUAAGUUGGAUGUGAAAUCUCCAGGCUCAACUUGGAGGGGGGUCAUUCGAUACUGCCAUGACUAGAGUUCGGUAGGGGGAGUGUGGAAUUCCCGGUGUAGCGGUGAAAAUGCGUAGAUAGUCGGGAAAGAACACCCCGUGGCGAAGGGCGGCUCACUGGCCCGGUACUGACGCUGAGGGUGCGAAAGCGUGGGGAGCAAAACAGGG
rnacentral:rRNA from 1 species